CUCCCGGUGAUCCCGCCGGACCUGACUGCUAUCGGAUUGGUACUAAGCCAUGCGAGUCGUUGUAGCAAUACAAGGCGGACGGCUCAGUAACACGUAGUCAACCUAACCUAUGGACGUGGAUAACCUCGGGAAACUGAGAAUAAACCGCGAUAGAUCAUUAUGCCUGGAAUGGCUUAUGGUUCAAACAAUUUAUUGCCGUAGGAUGGGACUGCGGCCUAUCAGCUUGUUGGUGAGGUAAUGGCCCACCAAGGCUAUAACAGGUACGGGCUCUGAGAGGAGAAGCCCGGAGAUGGGUACUGAGACACGGACCCAGGCCCUAUGGGGCGCAGCAGGCGAGAAACCUUAGCAAUGUGCGAAAGCACGACUAGGUUAAUCCGAGUGAUUUCUGUUGAAGAAAUCUUUUGUCAGUCGUAAAACCACAGACGAAUAAGGGGUGGGCAAGUCUGGUGUCAGCCGCCGCGGUAAUACCAGCACCUCGAGUGGUCAGGAGGUUUAUUGGGCCUAAAGCAUCCGUAGCCGGCUACGCAAGUCUCCGGUUAAAUCCAGCUGCUCAACAGAUGGGCUGCCGGAGAUACUACAUAGCUAGGGAGCGGGAGAGGUAGACGGUAUUCUGUGGGUAGGGGUAAAAUCCACUGAUCCAUAGAGGACCACCAGUGGCGAAGGCGGUCUACCAGAACGCGUUCGACGGUGAGGGAUGAAAGCUGGGGGAGCAAACCGGAUUAGAUACCCGGGUAGUCCCAGCUGUAAACGAUGCAAACUCGGUGAUGCAUUGGCUUAUGGCCAAUGCAGUGCCGCAGGGAAGCCGUUAAGUUUGCCGCCUGGGAAGUACGGACGCAAGUCUGAAACUUAAAGGAAUUGGCGGGGGAGCA
rnacentral:rRNA from 1 species